ACGCACGCUGGCGGCGUGCUUAACACAUGCCAGUCGCACGGAAAGGCCCUGCUUUUGUGGGGUGCUCGAGUGGCGAACGGGUGAGUAACACGUGAGUAACCUGCCCUUGACUUUGGGAUAACUUCAGGAAACUGGGGCUAAUACCGGAUAGGAGCUCCUGCUGCAUGGUGGGGGUUGGAAAGUUUCGGCGGUUGGGGAUGGACUCGCGGCGUAUCAGCUUGUUGGUGGGGUAGUGGCUUACCAAGGCUUUGACGGGUAGCCGGCCUGAGAGGGUGACCGGCCACAUUGGGACUGAGAUACGGCCCAGACUCCUACGGGAGGCAGCAGUGGGGAAUAUUGCACAAUGGGCGGAAGCCUGAUGCAGCAACGCCGCGUGCGGGAUGACGGCCUUCGGGUUGUAAACCGCUUUCGCCUGUGACGAAGCGUGAGUGACGGUAAUGGGUAAAGAAGCACCGGCUAACUACGUG
rnacentral:rRNA from 1 species